UGGCAGCAAGGAGUGCAGGUAUAUACCUGUCUCCCUGAUUUGGCCCAAACAACUGCCAGUGUGCUCUUUUUUGGGGAUCAGAGAACAAAAGCGAGGCAAACACCGCUGAGGUGAGGGAGAUGCCAAUUCCAAGAGGGUCUCAAAAUCUGGCUUUUCAAUCUUGGUUCUGGAAGAUGGUGAGACCUAUGCCCAGCCCCAGUGCCAGCAGAAGCUCACAGCCUGUCAACAACUGCUGUAUCAAACAUGAGUUUGGGAAAUACCAUGGAUGAGCUGUGCAUGCUUUAUGGGAGAAAAAGGAGGUCAUCA
rnacentral:lncRNA from 12 species